rnacentral:rRNA from 1 species
GACGUAGGGCGCGAGCGUUGUCCGGAAUCACUGGGCGUAAAGGGCGCGUAGGCGGCUUGAUAAGCGUGCGGUGAAAGCCCGGGGCUCAACCCCGGGUCGGCCGUGCGAACUGUCGAGCUGGAGCACUGUAGAGGCAGGUGGAAUUCCGGGUGUAGCGGUGGAAUGCGUAGAGAUCCGGAAGAACACCGGUGGCGAAGGCGGCCUGCUGGGCAGUGGCUGACGCUGAGGCGCGACAGCGUGGGGAGCAAACAGG